rnacentral:rRNA from 1 species
CUGUCGCUAAAGGAUGGACCUGCGAUGCAUUAGCUAGUUGGUAAGGUAAAGGACUUACCAAGGCGAUGAUGCAUAGCCGAGUUGAGAGACUGAUCGGCCACAUUGGGACUGAGACACGGCCCAAACUCCUACGGGAGGGCAGCAGUAGGGAAUUUUCCACAAUGGACGCAAGUCUGAUGGAGCAACGCCGCGUGAGUGAAGAAGGUUUUCGGAUCGUGAAGCUCUGUUGUUGGUGAAGAAGGAUAGAGGUAGUAACUGGCCUUUAUUUGACGGUAAUCAACCAGAAAGUCACGGGCUAACUACGUGCCAGCAGCCGCGGUAAAU